rnacentral:tRNA from 1 species
GAGGAUAUAGCUCAGUGGUAGAGCAUUUGCCUUGCAUGCAAAAGGCUUUGUAUUUAAUUUCC